rnacentral:rRNA from 1 species
CCUACGGGAGGCAGCAGUCGGGAAUAUUGCACAAUGGAGGAAACUCUGAUGCAGUGACGCCGCGUGCAGGAAGACGGUUUUCGGAUUUUAAACUGCUUUAGACAGGGAAGAAACAAGACAGUACCUGUAGAAUAAGCUCCGGCUAACUACGUGCCCGCAGCCGCGGGACUACGCAGGGAGCAGGCGUUAUCCGGAUUUAUUGGGUGUAAAGGGUGCGUAGACGGGUAUAUAAGUUAGUUGUGAAAUUCCGCGGGUCAACUGACGAUCUGCAGCUAAAACUGUAAAUCUUGAGUGCGGGAGAGGAAAGUGGAAUGCCUGGUGUAGCGGUGAAAUGCGUAGAUAUUAGGAGGAACACCAGUGGCGAAGGCGACUUUCUGGACCGUAACUGACGUUGAGGCACGAAAGUGUGGGGAGCAAACAGGAUUAGAUACCCUUGUAGUC